AAUUCAUUGAAUUAAAUUGAUCAUCUUUGAUUGUAAAAGAAGUAUGUGGAGCUUUGUAUAUCUAGAAGUACAAGAAUAUUGUUGAUUUGCUCAUAUGACUAUAGAUCAAACCUUUCGAUUACAAUAUGAUGAUUAAUUGUUCACGACAAUAAACUUAAUUUUAAUUAUUGAGCUAUGACACAAGAAUGUUGAUUUGUUUUCAUUAUGAUCUAGAUGUCUAAAUCUAAAUAUAAAUUUAAAUGAUUAAGAUAUAAUGAUGAUUGUGAUAAAAAAGAUGGUUAGUGAUGAUGACUGAUGAUCGUGAAUCGCUCAUAAUGAAUAUCAUCCACACAACUGAUACCUCUUAAUAAUUUUAAAACUCUCUUCUAAAUUUUAAUGAUUAAGACCUAUUCUUAAUGAUAUAUAUUAAACAUAUUUAUGAGCAAAUAUUUUUUUAAAUUCCAUUUCUAUAUAUUUUGAUGAAUAAAUUAAAACAUUCAAAUAACUCCAACAACGUUUGCUGCCCCUGUUUAGUUUGGGACUAAAAAGUUGUGGUUGAAAUCUUGUGUUAUCUUGACCUGCCUCAAGACUUAUCCAGAUUAAGCAGGGGACCAGAGUCCAUAGCCCAAUUGGCAUUUGCAGCAUAAAGUAUUAAUUAGUGUUUGAUAGUUGGUUAUAGUUAUAUAUGUAUUAAUGAAAAAGAGACAGAUUUAGCUCUGAAUUUUAAUAAAAAGUGUGUAUAUAUCCUCCGUUAUACUAUGCGUACACGUAUAUUGCUACAAUUCAAUUAGUGGUACAUAUAUAACCUUGUCACUAACGGAUCCAUAUUUUAUAACACGUGUCAUGAUCCUAAUACUAUCCGUUUCAUCCCUUUUUUAACCUAUAACCCGCCCCAUAACCCAUUAAAAGAAGGGAUCCCUUAAAAGAAUCCUAAAUACACACCUUAAUUGAAACACCUAAAGAAAAAUCCGCCGUCUUCGUCUGAUUCAAGUUCGUCUUCAUCGCGAUGAUCAUAAUUUCAAAUUUCAUCUAUCAUGUGUUGGUCAUAAUUUUCUAUUUCAUCUACCUGUCGACUCCUUUAAUUCAGACCUAAAAUCAUGUCUGAAAGUUCAUGUGGUUCAAUUAGUAACUCCAUGACUAUGACUUAUUUUUGUGGUGAAUUGACUCGUUGUUUCACUUCAAGGACUCCAUUGAACCUGAAAGAAGAUUUUAUAGAUGUUCUAUCCCUAAGAUUGAAAAUUGUGGAUUUUGGAGGUGGGAAGACAGUUCUUCAGAAAAUUCUUCUAUUGAAGCCAAUUUAUUGAAGUUUAAAUUGCAAGUUGCUAAGUUGAAAAUGGAGAAUUUGAGAGAAUCAUUGAAUGCGGUUAAGAUUGAAAGAGACAAUUUGAAGAAAAAAUUGAAGAAUUUAGAGAGUUUAAACUACUUCGAGGUGAAUAAAUCAAGAAAUUUGGAAGCUAAAGUGUCGAAGUUGAACAUGUUGUUCAUAUUGCCAUUUACUGUGUUUGUGGUAUUUGUUGUUGCAAUUUUCAAGUGUUAGUCAUUUCAAUUGUUUCUUAUGUAUUAGUGAUAGUGAAUCUUAUGCUUGAAUAUUGAUCAUUAUUUUCAAGUGUUGCUUCAAACUUAUUGUAAAUUUCAAGUGUUGGAUUUGAAACAUUAUUUUGUGUCUUUUGCCUUGAAGAUUGUAGUAUUUUGUUGUGUUA